rfam:Oryza glaberrima chromosome 11 Oglab11_0121_4, whole genome shotgun sequence.
AAAAAGACAAAUCCUGGUUUCCGUGUCCAACGUUUGACCGUCCGUCUUAUUUAAAAUAAUUAUAUAAAAAAUUAAAAAGAUAAGUUACGUAUAAAAUAUUAAUCAUGUUUUAUUAUCUAAUAACAAUGAAAUAUAAAUUAUAAAAAUUUUAUAUAAGACGGACAGUUAAACGUUGGCACGAAAAUUCAGGAUUUGCAUUUUUU